UCGAUGAUGCUUUUGUAGGGCAAGUGACGGAUCUGCCACGGUGGGAACCGCGACAGUAACAUUGAAAGUGGCCGAUGAGCCUGCCCUGGAAUACUCAGCUUAUGUGUUCUGUUUGCCUGAUAAAACUGUAGGGGGUACUACUGUCGUUACUGCCUCCUCUUCAACUUCCGGUGUGACAUACACAUUAGGAGGUACCGAUGCAGGGAGCUUUGACAUCUCUUCAGGCAAGAUCUCGCUCAAGUCUACCGUGACCUUAGCGUACUCCACCAAACCCUCCUAUACAGCGACCAUCACCGGCACAUCAGGGAGUGAAACGUCUGCAACACCACUGACGCUGUAUGUUUGUACUGGCUGCUCCAGCACUUCGGCGGCCGUGGGCUUGUCCAUCUACAUGUCAGUUUUCGUACUGGCCGCGGCUUCUACGAAACUUAUCUAGAAACGGGGUGUCAAAUGAACAUGUGCGAAAGAAUAAAAUAUCAGAAUUAAAAGUUGUGUUAAGGAGGUUUAUAUUGUAAAAAAAAAUAUGGUGAUGAACAUGUUAUUUGUAAAAACAUAGAUUAAUUACUUCUUUAAAUAGGAAUUACAUGAACAAUAUACUAUUUCAUAAAAUGUAUUUUAAAUUAAGAAUUGAAAAAAAGAAGCUUAAAUGCAAUAAGAUAUUUGAUAUGUUAACGGGUAAUUUUUGGUAACAUCUAUACAUGGGCAUUGAAGAAUGCAUUGUUGAUAUUGGUGUGUGUUUAUAAUAAAUCUGUAUAUUAAUGAUAUUGUCCCUCUAUGAAAUACCUUUGGGUACUUGAUUUUUGGGGAUAAUUGAACUAGUGUGUGUAUUUAAAUAAGUUUUUGGUUCUUUAUUUUGAAAUAAAAUCUAACGUC